AGAACUGAUGGAAGCUGAUGCCUGAGUGGGCUUAGGUGGGGACUGAGGAAGAAGGCAGUGUCCUGGAAGAAAGAUGGAAUGGGAGUUAUCAUUGGGAUGAUGAGAUGUCAAAGGAGCAGGUGAUGAUUGGCCAAAAACGUGAAGAUCCAGAGGAGAUACCUGUUUUAGAGAGCAGCCUUUGCACCCUUGUCUCUCAUGCCCACAGCUCCAUCAAAGGCAGGCUGACUAUGGGAUUCUGCCACCAUGGCCACAGUCGAUUGGAGUGGGAAAGUACCUGAGCCAUGGCCAUAACGUGGUCUGGGGUAAAAGCCUGCCCACGAAGGCGACAGUGCCAAAUGCAGCUGAGGAGAUGUCCUUCAUGGAAUUUGAAGGAGAACCCAAAGGGGCAUAUAUGAAAAACUGGAUGAUACCAACUGUCUGUGAGGAUACGGUACAACAGGAAAUCUAUCUGCUGCUGAUGGAAUGUAGCAAUCAUUGAGAGUUCCUGUUGCUCCACAUCCUUGCCAGCAUUUGCCAUU